rnacentral:rRNA from 1 species
AGAGUUUGAUCCUGGCUCAGGAUGAACGCUGGCGGCGUGCCUAAUACAUGCAAGUCGAGCGAACGGACGAGAAGCUUGCUUCUCUGAUGUUAGCGGCGGACGGGUGAGUAACACGUGGAUAACCUACCUAUAAGACUGGGAUAACUUCGGGAAACCGGAGCUAAUACCGGAUAAUAUUUUGAACCGCAUGGUUCAAAAGUGAAAGACGGUCUUGCUGUCACUUAUAGAUGGAUCCGCGCUGCAUUAGCUAGUUGGUAAGGUAACGGCUUACCAAGGCAACGAUGCAUAGCCGACCUGAGAGGGUGAUCGGCCACACUGGAACUGAGACACGGUCCAGACUCCUACGGGAGGCAGCAGUAGGGAAUCUUCCGCAAUGGGCGAAAGCCUGACGGAGCAACGCCGCGUGAGUGAUGAAGGUCUUCGGAUCGUAAAACUCUGUUAUUAGGGAAGAACAUAUGUGUAAGUAACUGUGCACAUCUUGACGGUACCUAAUCAGAAAGCCACGGCUAACUACGUGCCAGCAGCCGCGGUAAUACGUAGGUGGCAAGCGUUAUCCGGAAUUAUUGGGCGUAAAGCGCGCGUAGGCGGUUUUUUAAGUCUGAUGUGAAAGCCCACGGCUCAACCGUGGAGGGUCAUUGGAAACUGGAAAACUUGAGUGCAGAAGAGGAAAGUGGAAUUCCAUGUGUAGCGGUGAAAUGCGCAGAGAUAUGGAGGAACACCAGUGGCGAAGGCGACUUUCUGGUCUGUAACUGACGCUGAUGUGCGAAAGCGUGGGGAUCAAACAGGAUUAGAUACCCUGGUAGUCCACGCCGUAAACGAUGAGUGCUAAGUGUUAGGGGGUUUCCGCCCCUUAGUGCUGCAGCUAACGCAUUAAGCACUCCGCCUGGGGAGUACGACCGCAAGGUUGAAACUCAAAGGAAUUGACGGGGACCCGCACAAGCGGUGGAGCAUGUGGUUUAAUUCGAAGCAACGCGAAGAACCUUACCAAAUCUUGACAUCCUUUGACAACUCUAGAGAUAGAGCCUUCCCCUUCGGGGGACAAAGUGACAGGUGGUGCAUGGUUGUCGUCAGCUCGUGUCGUGAGAUGUUGGGUUAAGUCCCACAACGAGCGCAACCCUUAAGCUUAGUUGCCAUCAUUAAGUUGGGCACUCUAAGUUGACUGCCGGUGACAAACCGGAGGAAGGUGGGGAUGACGUCAAAUCAUCAUGCCCCUUAUGAUUUGGGCUACACACGUGCUACAAUGGACAAUACAAAGGGCAGCGAAACCGCGAGGUCAAGCAAAUCCCAUAAAGUUGUUCUCAGUUCGGAUUGUAGUCUGCAACUCGACUACAUGAAGCUGGAAUCGCUAGUAAUCGUAGAUCAGCAUGCUACGGUGAAUACGUUCCCGGGUCUUGUACACACCGCCCGUCACACCACGAGAGUUUGUAACACCCGAAGCCGGUGGAGUAACCUUUUAGGAGCUAGCCGUCGAAGGUGGGACAAAUGAUUGGGGUGAAGUCGUAACAAGGUAGCCGUAUCGGAAGGUGCGGCUG